rnacentral:rRNA from 1 species
AUUGAACGCUGGCGGCAGGCCUAACACAUGCAAGUCGAACGAGUGGCGGACGGGUGAGUUAUGUCUGGGCAACUGCCUGCUGGAGGGGGAUAACUACUGGAAACGGUAGCUAAUCCCGCAUACCAUCAGAUGUGCCCAGAUGGGAUUAGCUAGUUGGUGGGGUAACGGCUCACAGAGGCGACGAUCCCUAGCUGGACUGAGAGUAUGACCAGCAACACUGGAACUAGGACACGGUCCAGAACCCGACGUGAGGCAGCAGUGGGGAAUAUUGCACAAGGAGCGCAAGCCUGAUGCAGCCAUGCCGCGUGUAUGAAGAGGGCCUUCGGGUUGUAAAGUACUUUCAGCGGGGAGGCGUUACCCGCAGAAGAAGCACCGGCUAACUCCGUGCCAGCAGCCGCGGUAAUUC